GUGGGGAAUCUUCUGCAAUGGACGAAAGUCUGACGGAGCAACGCCGCGUGAGUGAUGAAGGUCUUCGGAUUGUAAAGCUCUGUUAAUCGGGACGAAAGAGCCUAGUGUGAAUAAUGCUAGGAAGUGACGGUACCGGAAUAGAAAGCCACGGCUAACUACGUGCCAGCAGCCGCGGUAAUACGUAGGUGGCAAGCGUUGUCCGGAAUUAUUGGGCGUAAAGCGCGCGCAGGCGGAUCUGCCAGUCUGUCUUAAAAGUUCGGGGCUUAACCCCGUGAUGGGAUGGAAACUACAGAUCUAGAGUAUCGGAGAGGAAAGUGGAAUUCCUAGUGUAGCGGUGAAAUGCGUAGAUAUUAGGAAGAACACCAGUGGCGAAGGCGACUUUCUGGACGAAAACUGACGCUGAGGCGCGAAAGCCAGGGGAGCGAACGGGAUUAGAUACCCGAGUAGUCC
rnacentral:rRNA from 1 species